GACGAACGCUGGCGGCGUGCCUAACACAUGCAAGUCGAACGGGGUAAAGACUUCGGUUUUUACUUAGUGGCGAACGGGUGAGUAACGCGUGAGAAACCCGCCUUUCAGUGGGGGACAACAGUUGGAAACGACUGCUAAUACCGCAUAAUGUUAUUUGGGGGCAUCCCUGAAUAACCAAAGAUUUAUUGCUGAAAGAUGGUCUCGCGUCUGAUUAGCUAGUUGGUGAGGUAACGGCUCACCAAGGCGACGAUCAGUAGCCGGUCUGAGAGGAUGAACGGCCACAUUGGGACUGAGAUACGGCCCAGACUCCUACGGGAGGCAGCAGUGGGGAAUAUUGGGCAAUGGGGGAAACCCUGACCCAGCAACGCCGCGUGAAGGAAGAAGGCCUUCGGGUUGUAAACUUCUUUUACCAGGGACGAACAAAUGACGGUACCUGGAGAAAAAGCAACGGCUAACUACGUGCCAGCCGCCGCCGUAACAC
rnacentral:rRNA from 1 species